rnacentral:rRNA from 1 species
UGGGGAAUAUUGGACAAUGGGCGAAAGCCUGAUCCAGCCAUGCCGCGUGAGUGAAGAAUGUCUUCGGAUUGUAAAGCACUUUAAGUUGGGAGGAAGGGCAGUAAGCGAAUACCUUGCUGUUUUGACGCUACCGACAGAAUAAGCACCGGCUAACUCUGUGCCAGCAGCCGCGGUAAUACAGAGGGUGCAAGCGUUAAUCGGAAUUACUGGGCGUAAAGCGCGCGUAGGUGGUUCGUUAAGUUGAAUGUGAAAGCCCCGGGCUCAACCUGGGAACUGCCUCCAAAACUGGCGAGCUAGAGUAGGGCAGAGGGUGGUGGAAUUUCCUGUGUAGGGGUGAAAUGCGUAGAUAUAGGAAGGAACACCAGUGGCGGAGGCGACCACCUGGGCUGAUACUGACACUGAGGUGCGAAAGCGUGGGGAGCAAACAGG